rnacentral:rRNA from 1 species
GAUGAACGCUGGCGGCGUGCCUAAUACAUGCAAGUCGAGCGAACGGACGAGAAGCUUGCUUCUCUGAUGUUAGCGGCGGACGGGUGAGUAACACGUGGAUAACCUACCUAUAAGACUGGGAUAACUUCGGGAAACCGGAGCUAAUACCGGAUAAUAUUUUGAACCGCAUGGUUCAAAAGUGAAAGACGGUCUUGCUGUCACUUAUAGAUGGAUCCGCGCUGCAUUAGCUAGUUGGUAAGGUAACGGCUUACCAAGGCAACGAUGCAUAGCCGACCUGAGAGGGUGAUCGGCCACACUGGAACUGAGACACGGUCCAGACUCCUACGGGAGGCAGCAGUAGGGAAUCUUCCGCAAUGGGCGAAAGCCUGACGGAGCAACGCCGCGUGAGUGAUGAAGGUCUUCGGAUCGUAAAACUCUGUUAUUAGGGAAGAACGUAUGUGUAAGUAACUGUGCACAUCUUGACGGUACCUAAUCAGAAAGCCACGGCUAACUACGUGCCAGCAGCCGCGGUAAUACGUAGGUGGCAAGCGUUAUCCGGAAUUAUUGGGCGUAAAGCGCGCGUAGGCGGUUUUUUAAGUCUGAUGUGAAAGCCCACGGCUCAACCGUGGAGGGUCAUUGGAAACUGGAAAACUUGAGUGCAGAAGAGGAAAGUGGAAUUCCAUGUGUAGCGGUGAAAUGCGCAGAGAUAUGGAGGAACACCAGUGGCGAAGGCGACUUUCUGGUCUGUAACUGACGCUGAUGUGCGAAAGCGUGGGGAUCAAACAGGAUUAGAUACCCUGGUAGUCCACGCCGUAAACGAUGAGUGCUAAGUGUUAGGGGGUUUCCGCCCCUUAGUGCUGCAGCUAACGCAUUAAGCACUCCGCCUGGGGAGUACGACCGCAAGGUUGAAACUCAAAGGAAUUGACGGGGACCCGCACAAGCGGUGGAGCAUGUGGUUUAAUUCGAAGCAACGCGAAGAACCUUACCAAAUCUUGACAUCCUUUGACAACUCUAGAGAUAGAGCCUUCCCCUUCGGGGGACAAAGUGACAGGUGGUGCAUGGUUGUCGUCAGCUCGUGUCGUGAGAUGUUGGGUUAAGUCCCGCAACGAGCGCAACCCUUAAGCUUAGUUGCCAUCAUUAAGUUGGGCACUCUAAGUUGACUGCCGGUGACAAACCGGAGGAAGGUGGGGAUGACGUCAAAUCAUCAUGCCCCUUAUGAUUUGGGCUACACACGUGCUACAAUGGACAAUACAAAGGGCAGCGAAACCGCGAGGUCAAGCAAAUCCCAUAAAGUUGUUCUCAGUUCGGAUUGUAGUCUGCAACUCGACUACAUGAAGCUGGAAUCGCUAGUAAUCGUAGAUCAGCAUGCUACGGUGAAUACGUUCCCGGGUCU